rnacentral:misc_RNA from 1 species
AAAAAACUUCAGCGGUAAAAAAUACUGUUCCAUGAUGUUCCACGACAUUCCACGAUGUUCCACGACAUUCCACGAUGUUCCACGACAUUCCACGAUGUUCCACGACAUUCCACGAUGUUCAGCAACUUCCACGACACGCGAUACUCAACGACAUCCAACCACUUACACACGUCCACACUUCUAUGAGCGUUGCCAUUUGUCAAUGAGCGCAGAUAUUUGUCGAUAAUAUCUUUUGUGAGUUCUCGGACGUGUAUCUGGUUGCCAGACUAUCCACACGUUGGUGGUUCAAUUGAUGUUUCCUUUGAUCACUAGAUGUCAAUUUACAUUGUGACUAUCAUUGGUGAUUCAUACUCGCGUUCUUUUGUUGGAAUAAUGCUGAAAUGAUAUUUGAGAGUUUCUCCCUGAAGAUUAAGAACAAUUAAAGAAGAGAACGGACCAGAAUGGCAAGCAACUCAUCGAAGAAUAACGGCAAUUGGAAGGACAAUAUCGGAUCCGAUAGCCAGUCUGGAGUACAUACUGUCAGGCUGGACUGGCAACUGGAAGACUGGGGAGAGAGGGGAAGUCCGCCAACGCUGAUUGAACAGUAUCCAGAUCCCUUGCCUAUCUGAGAUUCGUUCAAUCCAGAUCCAGUCUGUGGAACAUUGCGCAACUGUGCUAGUUUUUUUUUAUCCGAUCAGUGGAGUUAGGUCAGGAAUGAGUCACCGUUCCAGGUGACGAUGGAUCCUGUGACUGAGGUUGCCCCGCUUACAAUAUCAGUGGCUGCAGUAAUAUAAACAGCCACGGUUCUGAGAGGGGGAAAGUGCAGAGACAGUGUAGACGGGAUACGGUCUUUCGUGACUGGAAACACUCUCAUCCUCAAGCCCUCCGAGCAAGCCAAGAAGCUCCCCAUCAAAAGUGACUUUGAAACUGACGCCGAUCUGGCACAUGUCAUCUCCCCGCAGCCAAGGCCCGAUUCCAGUCUCUGAUCAGUCUGCCAUCAACGAGAGAGCCACCAUUCUACCCUACUACCGAGGAUAGCACUCCGCCAAGUACCCCAAAAGUAAUGUCAUUGGCCCCACAAUCAUCACUGGUAUCAAGCCCAGCACAAAGUGCUACGACCAAUUGAUUUUCGUCUCCGUUUUUGUUGUCGUCGAUACCACCGAUCUUGACGAUGCCAUUGAUGUCAUCAACCGAAAAGUACAGCAACGGUGCUACCAUCUUUCACCCGAGCCGGUGCGGCAGGCAACAAGCUCCAGAGACAGAUACAGGCCUUCCAAAUUGGUACCAACGUCGCCAUCCCUGUGCCUCUCGCCAUACUCUCCUUCACCGGAAACAAGGGCCCCACAUAAGUUCUACGGCAAGACUGGUAUCAUUUUCCUGACCCAGAACAAGACCUGGACUACCCAGUGGUUACCACCAAGUGGCGAAACAAAGAUGUCACCUUCCAGAAGAUUGAUGUCACCGAAUGUGCAAUGUUACUGGUGACUCCAGUAACGAUGGCGUACAGUUGAACAUGUCGAGAGUAGAUGGACUGACUGUGAAAAGUACUUGUACAGUACACUGUACAAGUACGAAUGUGAUUGAAAUACAGGAAGCAAGUGCGCUUACUUGUAGCUACAACGACACACCAGCCAGGCAAAGAGAAGGUGAGAAGACAUGACAGAGUACGACACUGUGGUUUGUUACUUGUGCCGUUAACAUGAGUGUGGAACAAAUCAAGUGAUCUUAUUGUUGCUAGGGUCCAUUCGUCACGGCGUAAGUGGUUAAUUGUGGUGGAUACAGUACGACUGAGAUGUUUUCCGGACUUGUGUUCAUUUUGUUGUGAAUUUUGAGUGUCUCAACAAGGGAUUAGUUUACCUAAUCGCUCCUCCAACAAAUCAUCCACUAAAUAUCUUAAGUAAAUGGGGGUUGAAAAACCAGUCUCUUGAGAGAAGUCUUUUAGACCGUUGGAUUUUGGACUAUUGGAUGCAGAGUAUCUCAACCCCUCACCCCGGUGUAGAUCAUCUUGUCAGUGUCUGAAUAGACCGGUUAGUUGAUCUGGUGGUAGGUAUCUGCGAUGAUACAAGAGUUGUUUUGGGGCAUCAUGUAAGCUACAUAGAUGGCGAUACUACAACAAUUAUUUUGGUACUA